GCUGGGUGUGGUGGUGCACGUGCCUGUAGUCCUAGCUGUUCAAAAGGUUAAGGCAGGAGGAUUAUUUGAGCCUAGGAGUUCUGAGCUCUAGUGCACUAUGCUGACUGGGUGUCCACAUUAAGUUCAGCGUCAGUGUAGUAAACUCCCAGGUGCUGGGAACCCCCAGGUUACCUAAGGAGGGGUGAACUAGCCCAGGUUAGAAAUGGAGCAGGUCAGAACUCCCAUGCUGAUCAGUAGUGGGAUCAUACCUGUGAAUAGUCUCUGCACUCCAGCAUGGACAACAUAGUGAGACCUCAUCACUUU
ensembl:misc_RNA Metazoa_SRP Metazoan signal recognition particle RNA